CUCUCUCUCUCUUUGAUCCCCUCCCCUAAAACCCGACUCCGACGCUCACCCCACUCCCGCCGCAGCUCGUCGGCGUCUCCGCCGGCGUCGUCCCUCCAUCUCUCUCAGUGCAGGGGUACAAUCUAAUUAAAUAUUUCAAUAUUCGACGCCGCCAAGCCUACUGCCACCAACCCCUCCAUCUCAGCCCUAAUUGAAAAAAUUCGAGAUAUCUUAUGCAGGUCCUGGGGAAACCAGCAAUUGAACACAUUUACAGAGAGGAAAACAAAGUUGCAGACAAGCUAGUGAAGGAACUAGCUGAAGAGAACUACAUGAAUUUUGAUGUAAUUAUGUUUGAAACCCCACCAUCCUCCACGGUGGACUCCUUAGCCUUGGAUAAUUUUGAAACAUUAUUUACUAGGAAAGUUUGUUGUUGUAAUGGUCGUAUAACAGACCAGGAAGGUGGGAUUAAUCCCUCCGCUUUUGUAUUA